rnacentral:misc_RNA from 1 species
GAAUAGUCUCAGAGGGAUCCUGGA